UAGUCCACGCCGUAAACGAUGUCUACUAGCCGUUGGGAGACUUGAUUUCUUAGUGGCGCAGCUAACGCAAUAAGUAGACCGCCUGGGGAGUACGGCCGCAAGGUUAAAACUCAAAUGAAUUGACGGGGGCCCGCACAAGCGGUGGAGCAUGUGGUUUAAUUCGAUGCAACGCGAAGAACCUUACCAGGUCUUGACAUCCUCAGAACUUUCCAGAGAUGGAUUGGUGCCUUCGGGAACUGAGUGACAGGUGCUGCAUGGCUGUCGUCAGCUCGUGUCGUGAGAUGUAGGGUUAAGUCCCGCAACGAGCGCAACCCUUGUCUUUAGUUGCCAUCAUUCAGUUGGGCACUCUAAAGAGACUGCCGGUGACAAACCGGAGGAAGGUAAGGAUGACGUCAAGUCAGCAUGCCCCUUACGCCCUGGGCUACACACGUGCUACAAUGGUCGUGACAAAGGGUCGCUAAUCUGCAAAGACAUGCUAAUCUCAUAAACACGG
rnacentral:rRNA from 1 species